rnacentral:rRNA from 1 species
AGCGAACAGACGAGGAGCUUGCUCCUCUGACGUUAGCGGCGGACGGGUGAGUAACACGUGGAUAACCUACCUAUAAGACUGGGAUAACUUCGGGAAACCGGAGCUAAUACCGGAUAAUAUAUUGAACCGCAUGGUUCAAUAGUGAAAGACGGUUUUGCUGUCACUUAUAGAUGGAUCCGCGCCGCAUUAGCUAGUUGGUAAGGUAACGGCUUACCAAGGCAACGAUGCGUAGCCGACCUGAGAGGGUGAUCGGCCACACUGGAACUGAGACACGGUCCAGACUCCUACGGGAGGCAGCAGUAGGGAAUCUUCCGCAAUGGGCGAAAGCCUGACGGAGCAACGCCGCGUGAGUGACGAAGGUCUUCGGAUCGUAAAACUCUGUUAUUAGGGAAGAACAAAUGUGUAAGUAACUAUGCACGUCUUGACGGUACCUAAUCAGAAAGCCACGGCUAACUACGUGCCAGCAGCCGCGGUAAUACGUAGGUGGCAAGCGUUAUCCGGAAUUAUUGGGCGUAAAGCGUGCGUAGGCGGUUUUUUAAGUCUGAUGUGAAAGCCCACGGCUCAACCGUGGAGGGUCAUUGGAAACUGGAAUACUUGAGUGCAGAAGAGGAAAGUGGAAUUCCAUGUGUAGCGGUGAAAUGCGCAGAGUUAUGGAGGUACACCAGUGGCGAAGGCGACUUUCUGGUCUGUAACUGACGCUGAUGUGCGA